ACAAACCCAAGGAGAGAGGUGGAGAGGGAGGCCUCCUUGGGAUGCCCAAUGCAUUACGCACACACUGUACUGUCUAAACUCCAAGAUCUCGGCAGUCGUCCACCCAUGAAGAGAAAAUCCACUUCAAAAACCAGUAAAAAAACAAAAAACAAAAAAAUGGGUUGAGAAGGUCCAGUAAACAAUGGUGAAACUUACGGUCGUCCUCGCCCUGCGCCCUGACCAAGAGCACUGCUGCGCUGAGCAGCAGCGCCAGCCGCAAAUCCACAAAGCUGAACAUGUCUAGAUGCCACUAGACAUGUAGACUCUUUGAGGCAAGAGAGGAAAAAAGUUGGGGAUGUUUUCUCUUUCUGCUACACUCCACUCAUACACGGGUGUUUGGGGCAGGGUCCGCUUGUCUGUUCACAGUCCUCCUGACCCCAGCAGAAAACUCCCUACUGCCUACACGAACUUUCCACCAGGGUUUUUAUAUGGGAGCCUGAAGAACUGGGAGGUGCUGGGGACUGGACUGAGUGGGGACGCACCCUCAUUACCCAGCUGCUGCCGCUCACGUUUAGGGAAGACAAGAAUGGACCCCUCCUUCAAAGAGAGAAAAAAACAGAAGAACAGAAGAAGGAAAAUCAGAAGGUCCCUCCUUCUAUAAUUCCACAGCUGAGUUUGGAUCAGAGCAAGAAGGGGGGCUGAGCAGGAGGAAACCUGAUCCUGAAGAGCAUCAGAGGGUCGGAGGAGGAUCUCCUCCUCCAGCAGCCAUGGGUUUAAUCCAGUUUUAUUUCUGGUCCUGGUCUACUUCCUGACUCACUUUUAUUUCAGUUGAUCUUUAGACAGCAUCUGUAAUUCUGUCUUUAGUUUUAAGUUUUUAAAAACAGCUGUAGUCGCUGAUAAGGUUGGGUUUAUUUGCUUAUGUCUCAGAACAUCAAGUUUAGUUUUUCCCAGGCUUUAAAGUACUGCUCCUCCUUUAAAAAUGGUUGAAGAUUUUCAUAGUUGUUUUGGGCUUUUCCAAAGUUUUUCCAGAGUUUAAGGUAUCUGAUCCUAAUGGGCAGAACAUGGCUGCAGGCUUAGAAGUGUUUGGUUUACUUUGGUUUGGCUUUGCAAUAUUGUUGUUUCUGUUGCUGGUUUAGUUACGGUGACUUGACAGUUCUUAGGUUUGUAGGCCCUUGUUGUUCCCACUGUUGAUAUAUCUUUCAAGGAAUUGAGUUCAUGAUAAGAAUUGUUACACAGCCUCUUUAUCCAAAUUUCACUGGAGAGUUUUUAUAACAAAUUGUUGGAACGGUUUUACUCUGGGAGAUUUACUUUCUGCAAGCCAUGCAGAAAAUAAACUUCUCUGGGCACUUGAGGAUAACAGAAACAAUUUCUAAACAAACAUUUAUCUUCAUAUCUUUAUUUCCCAAGUUAGAAUGAAAAAUGUGUCAUCCAAAACUUAAAAUUAUGGAAAACUUAAGCAGUUGUUCAGUCAUGUCACUGACUUAAGCUUAUCUUAAGCUCUGCUUUUGGUCUCCACCAGCCUGUGGGAAUUAGCUCUCUACCUGCAAAAUGCUCAACUUUUUUUCUUUAUCUAGCUGUCAACUCUGUUUACUGCUGAUCCAGUGGGUUUCUAUAGAUGUGUCAUUAAUACAUCAUCUUUAAAUUGGCUAUGCAAGCUUUGAGAAUGGAUCAAAGGUGUAAAUUGGCAGCCCAGUUAGCAAAACAAUGAUUUUAACUCAGCAUACAGCUCAGUUUUACAUCACAUUGGUACAACUUGGAAUUGUAGGAUCCAGCUGGUUUUAUUUAUUUAUUUCGAGCUCAGCCCAUCCAAGGGGCUGAAAUUCAGUAAGUUUGUGUCUGGUGUUUCAAUAAAAACAAUUAUUUUAAAAUCUGUCUUUCAUAAACUUUCAAACUGUAUUAAAGUGCAAUACUAAGUUCA